ACAAAGCCUAUAGGGUAUUCUGAUGGAACGUAGUGGAAAAUAAAUUGGAUAUUGGUCGUAAGUUGGAAGAGUAAACACUAAACACCAAGUCUUGGGACACUUAGAGGCAUUUGUGUACUUUUUAUCAUACACCAUAUUGUAGUACUUGAUCAUAGUUACUUGGCAACGUUUUUCUUCAUAUAUCUUCUAAAAGCAAACAAAAUUGAUACCAUUUUCAUAUAAGUAAUACCUUCAAGGCCUAUAAAGUAAGUCCAAAAGACAACAUUAUAUGUAUUCAAGUGAGAAAAAUCCAAAAGUAACAAUGCUUUGAUAUGUAAAUAAAAUUAUAGGCUUAGAAUUAAGCAAAUACAAUUAACUAGCUAGCUAGUAUAAUCAUUACUAUCUUUGACGGUAACAUAUUUUAAACAAAGAUGAAAUUUAUUAUUAUUAUUAAUAUAAAAGUGAGUUUUAAUAGUUAUUUUACAAUUGUACAUCUUACACAAAGUAACUUAACUACGUUCCUUGAAGUUACGAUAUCAAUUUCUUAUCACUAAAGUCAUCUUCUAAUAAAUGAGGAUCUCGGAGGAAGACAUUUACAUGUACGACAAACGCAUUUUGGAACAUACGGAGGUAGACAAUAAUAGUAUUGACAAUUAGCAUCCUCUUUGCAAUUUUUCCACAAUGCUGUGAUAUAAAAUUAAGAAACAAAAGUUACUAUAAGGGAUGAAAUAUUUUGUAUAAGA
rnacentral:lncRNA from 1 species